rnacentral:rRNA from 1 species
GUAGGGAAUCUUGCGCAAUGGGCGAAAGCCUGACGCAGCCAUGCCGCGUGAAUGAUGAAGGUCUUAGGAUUGUAAAAUUCUUUCACCGGGGACGAUAAUGACGGUACCCGGAGAAGAAGCUCCGGCUAACUUCGUGCCAGCAGCCGCGGUAAUACGAAGGGGGCUAGCGUUGCUCGGAAUUACUGGGCGUAAAGGGCGCGUAGGUGGAUAUUUAAGUCGGGGGUGAAAGCCCGGGGCUCAACCUUGGAAUUGCCUUUGAUACUGGCUGUCUUGAGUUUGGGAGAGGUGAGUGGAACUCCGAGUGUAGAGGUGAAAUUCGUAGAUAUUCGGAAGAACACCAGUGGCGAAGGCGACUCACUGGCCCAAUACUGACGCUGAGGCGCGAAAGCGUGGGGAGCAAACAGGAUUAGAUACCCUUGUAGUCC